AUUGAACGCUGGCGGAAUGCUUUACACAUGCAAGUCGAACGGCAGCACGGACUUCGGUCUGGUGGCGAGUGGCGAACGGGUGAGUAAUGUAUCGGAACGUGCCCAGUCGUGGGGGAUAACGUAGUGAAAAUUACGCUAAUACCGCAUACGAUCUAGGGAUGAAAGCGGGGGAUGGCAAGACCUCGCGCGAUUGGAGCGGCCGAUAUCAGAUUAGGUAGUUGGUGGGGUAAAGGCCCACCAAGCCAACGAUCUGUAGCUGGUCUGAGAGGACGACCAGCCACACUGGAACUGAGACACGGUCCAGACUCCUACGGGAGGCAGCAGUGGGGAAUUUUGGACAAUGGGCGAAAGCCUGAUCCAGCCAUUCCGCGUGCAGGAUGAAGGCCCUCGGGUUGUAAACUGCUUUUGUACAGAGCGAAAAGGUUUCUACUAAUACUAGGAGCUCAUGACGGUACUGUAAGAAUAAGCACCGGCUAACUACGUGCCAGCCGCCGCGGUAA
rnacentral:rRNA from 1 species